UACGUAUGGGGCAAGCGUUGUUCGGAUUUAUUGGGCGUAAAGGGCACGCAGGCGGAUUAUUAAGUUAGAUGUUUAACCUUCAGGCUCAACCUGAAGUCAGCCUCUAAUACUGGUGAUCUUGAGUUAUGGAGAGGAAAGCGGAAUUCUCGGUGUAGCGGUGGAAUGCGUAGAUAUCGAGAGGAACACCAAUGGCGAAGGCAGCUUUCUGGCCAAUAACUGACGCUCAUGUGCGAAAGCGUGGGGAGCAAAC
rnacentral:rRNA from 1 species